ACAUUAAUGAAAGCAACUGAUGGAAUAGAACUCUUACCAUCGAUGCUCCUCCAUUGCCGAUUUACAUCCUCACCCUUCUUGUCUCUGAUCUGUCCUUUCCCCCUCAAUCUUCCCAGUGUUGAUCUACUUCACUUCACCAUUUUGAGCCCUAAUUUGAGAGAAAAUUCCUAUUUGAAGAGAAAGAAAAAAGGCUCUCUCUCUCUCAAAACCACUCUCAAAUCAUCAACUUCCAUCAUCUCUACAAGGCCCUUCGAUUUCCCUCAAAGCCCCUCUUCGACCCCAAUUUACAACGAUUCGGAUGUGAAGCCGAAGCCUCAGAAACAACUCUUCAAGAAGAACAUGACGGCUGAGGAGAGCACUCCUGAUUUUGGAAUCAGGGAAGAGGAUGAUGGAGAAGAAGGGAUUUUGUGAGGGGAAAGUCGGACUAUGAUGACUUCGGGGAUGGAAAGAGGAAGAAGUUUGAGAAAGAUGGUAUUGGUAGUAGUAGGAAGAUGGACAGACAUUGAGAAACACAUGUUCACUCUCUGCCCUCCUUGCUCUCUACCCUAGCUACUCCAUCUUUAGUGCCACCGUAAAAAAGACACAUGUUCACUCUAUUAUGUUUUUGUUUUUUUCAAACGAGAGUUGGUCCUAGAUUUAUUCAUUUAUUUAUUGUAAGAAACCGAAAUACUCUCAUUUCCUCAAUCCCCUUCAAACUUUCUCUAAUCCUCUCAGAUUUCGAUGUUUAUUCUAUUCAAUUUAAUCGAAACAGAGCUUCAAAAAUCCGAGACCGAAAUGGGAAUUCCAUCGACGAUGAGGGACGCUUGGGCAAACUGAAGAUAUUCGCCUUUGAUUGCUUCACCGGCUGAGGAUCAAAAGAUUCUGAAUUCACGCCGGUACACUCAAGAUCAUGGGUUGCUAUUGAAUGGUGUUUCUGGAAUUUGCAGAGGGUGUUCGAGCAGGAGUGAAGGCAGCUUCCAUUGCUUGUGUUGGCAGUGAUGUGCCUACUGUAUGUGAUCUUUAUCACUACUUUCUGUAUUCACUGUGUAUACAAUUUCUGGAUUUAUUUGGGACAUUUUACUGGUUUAUCAGUACACUUUCAAUGUGGGUAUUUGGCAUUCAUAACUGUUCAAUAACAAGACUGAUCCACAUAAAAACCACCUAAUGGGUAGGUAUCAUUUGAGAUAGAAAACAAUCACUUGCUUUAGGGAGGCUACGCGAGAAUUUUUGUUGAGAGAGACAAAGUUAUACACACAACUUUUUCCUAUUUGACAAUCUCAUAUUCAUUAUCUUAAAUGAAGAAAAUCCCAAAUAUAUGUGGCCAAUAUGGAAAUUCCGGGGGAGCAAGAACAAAAUUUCAUACAGGCAAAUCAAGUGGAAAAGUUGAGGAAAUUGAGCUUCCAGUUGCUCGAGUGGAUAUCAUUAUUUCAGAGUGGAUGGGAUAUUUUUUAUUGUUUGAGAAUAUGUUAAAUACUGUCCUCUAUGCUCGUGAUAAGUGACUUGUAAGUUACACUGCCCCUUUUUCUUUCUGAAUAACCACUUUGAUGCUAUUGCUAAUCUGGAUGUAUUAGUGCAAUGUUUGGUGGUGGAGUUAGUUUGUUUUUCUAUUUUUUUUGGUUUGUUUUGUGUUUUUAUUUUUUUUGUUUUUUAUUUAUUUUAUCAUGGAAGAUGUUAUUGGAGUUUAAUUGGUCUCAUCAGCUUGAAUUUAUUAUAAUUCGUUAGUCUUUAUAUUCUGAAAGUUCAACUCUUUGACUGGAUUAGACGCCUUUUCUGGGAUUUUCAGUGCUUUUGUUUAGAAACUUUAUGGUGGUGGAAGCAAAUUGAUUAAUUUAAUUUUUAUUGGAUUUAUAUGCUCAUAAAAGUUUCUGUUUUCUUAUAAUGGGUUUUUUGGUUAAAGUCAUUUUAUUCUAAGAGGUCUAUCUUGAGUUGGGUUGUAAUUUUUUUAAGUUACAAUUUGAUUCGUUUGUUUAGGAAUUUUGUCUUGUUGGAGUUAAGUCGUAAAUAGAUUCUACAUCAAGUGGGAAAAUUUAUUUUUUACUCUUUUUGUUCUUCUUUAGGGUUUUCUAGCAUCUUCAUAAUGGAUAUUGGAUGUGAAAUGAGAUUUACGCAAGUCCUCAAUUGUUUUGGCCAAUUGUAGUAGAGUUCAAUGUCAGUUUUGUCUUGGUUAAUGACCGACUGUGGAACAAUGGAAUUGGUUUGAUUUGAGUGUGGUUUUUGGAUGAACCGUUGCUGAGCAUGGCUAUUUGUCACUAAAGAUGACAUCAAAGGCUUAUCUUGCUUCCAGAACAUUUUUAAAGAGGUUAUUGUCAGACGACAACAUUCUUUGUGAAAGCAAUUCACCCAUUGAAGCCACUGAUGUUUGACAAAAUGAAUAUCACAAUCAGCAUUUGCCUGAUAAGACGCGAGGUCUUUCAGAGUCAACUCCAGAAAUCUUAACUUGUGAAAGUGAAUUAUCUUAUUCAAGGUAUACCCCCUCCAUGUCUAGUAGGCAGCUUUUUCUAGAUAUGCAGCAGAACCAAUAUCUGGAAAAUAUCAUGUUUGUUUGUAUGGACAUCGAGAUUCAUUCCACUGCUCAAAUUUUUGGGACGUGGAUUGGCUUUCUUCAUCUAGAAAUUCAUGUGAAGAAGAAACUUAUGAAAGAUUCGAGAUUUGAUAUGGACAUGUUUGGUAAUUUGGAGGGCAGGUGGUAGCUCAUUUUGUGUUUUUGUUCAUAUUACCCUACAUGUAUUUUGGUUGUGUUGUAAAUUUUAUAUUUUUGUUGGUAUUACAAGGCAUGUUUGGUAAUUCUCCCUUGAUAUUUUAUUUUUGUUGAUAUUAGUAGAUAUUUGUUGUUGGAUAUAAGAAGAUGUGUUUGGUAAUCCGCAUGCGGUUGAUAUUAUAUUUUUGUGGAUAUUAGUAGACGUUUUUUGUGGAUAGUGCUGAAAUUCGAUUGAGAUGUUUAUAAAAAAUGAACAGA